UUUUAUUCAUUAAAUUUUUAAGUAGAAUGGACUUUUAAUUGAAAUUUAACAAACAUAUAUUAUAAAAUUAAAUGGACCUUAGAAUUUAGAGCUCAAUAUAACCAACGCCUUAUUAUUUAACACUUCAUGGGCUUUAUAGGGUUAAUAACAUGUGUAAGCUGUAAUUAGCAACCCUUCUAUUUACUAUAACCUACGCCAAUGAAGAAAGAACGAAGCAGAAAGAGAUGCAUGAGGAUUCUUCUUCUUAUUCUAGAACACUUCUCUUCUUUUUCUUCUCUAGGUUUUGAUGUUGCUGCUUAUUAUUCUCUAUUUUUACUAACAUCAUAGGUAGCUUUAUUUUAUUAAAAAAAAUAAAGAAAAGAAAAAUCAAAAGAAAUGAAUAGAAUUUCUUCUUCUUGUUCCCUUCAAUUUUGUGCCGAGCAGAGUGGAACGGGAUCACUUGAUUUGUCAACUUAGAUCGUGUUCCCAAUCGAUUUGGGAUGAAAAAGUCCCAAGAUUUAGGAUGCACAAUAUGGGUGGUGGAACGCAUGGGGCUUAAACGAAUCUGGCAACUAUAAAUGUCAAGCAAAAUUAUUUUUACAAAUUAUUAAGAGGUUCUAGAGCUCCCUCAAACGAGCUCUAUAUUAAGGCACAAUGGGUUCUUCACGCAGAGGCAAAAAUAAUAAGGGAAAUUCAAUUCCUUCCUAAGAAAAUUAUCCUAUCUAACGACUUGUGACACAAUCCUAUGCAAAAGCCCUUGACAACUUGAUAUCAGAGCUAAGCAUCAUGGAUGAAUCAAAUUGACAAAACUAUCAAACGUCCCACAUCUAAAGAUUAAAAGGAAUUCAAUGAGCUUACAAGGGUGAAAGGCUAACUACCUAAUUGGUUAGUUCCAACCUUUUAGCAAUAGUUGGUCCUAAUUUGAGAAGCCCAUCUCACU
rnacentral:misc_RNA from 1 species